AGAGAUGCAGUUGGCAUAAAGUGUGCGCAGGCGGUUUUGUAAGACAGAGGUGAAAUCCCCGGGCUCAACCUGGGAACUGCCUUUGUGACUGCAAGGCUGGAGUGCGGCAGAGGGGGAUGGAAUUCCGCGUGUAGCAGUGAAAUGCGUAGAUAUGCGGAGGAACACCGAUGGCGAAGGCAAUCCCCUGGGCCUGCACUGACGCUCAUGCAUGAAAGCGUGGGGAGCAAACA
rnacentral:rRNA from 1 species